GGGCUGGUGGCGCAGCGGUUAGCGCGUCGGAUUGCGUAAGUGGCGAAUUAAGACAGAUGCAUCUCAGCAGCAAGCUAACCCUUUCAUAUAGAGAUCCCAAGGUCCCCGGUUCAAAUCCGGGUCAGCCCU
rfam:Coccidioides immitis RMSCC 2394 supercont1.10 genomic scaffold, whole genome shotgun sequence.